GGMGCAAGCCUGAUGCAGCCAUGCCGCGUKUKKGAAGAAGGCCUUCGGGUUGUAAAGCACUUUCAGCGGGGAGGAGGCGAURAGGUUAAUAACCUYRKYGAUUGACGUUACCCGCAGAAGAAGCACCGGCUAACUCCGUGCCAGCAGCCGCGGUAAUACGGRAGGGUGCAAGCGUUAAUCGGAAUUACUGGGCGUAAAGCGCACGCAGGCGGUCUGUCAAAGUCGGAUGUGAAAUCCCCGGGCUCAACCUGGGAACUGCAUUCGAAACUGGCAGGCUAGAGUCUUGUAGAGGGGGGUAGAAWUUCCAGGUGUAGCGGUGAAAUGCGUAGAGAUCUGGAGGAAUACCGGUGGCGAAGGCGGCCCCCUGGACAAAGACUGACGCUCAGGUGCGAAAGCGUGGGGAGCAAACAGGAUUAGAUACCCUGGUAGUCCACGCCGUAAACGAUGUCGAUUUGGAGGUUGUGCCCUUGAGGCGUGGCUUCCGGAGCUAACGCGUUAAAUCGACCGCCUGGGGAGUACGGCCGCAAGGUUAAAACUCAAAUGAAUUGACGGGGGCCCGCACAAGCGGUGGAGCAUGUGGUUUAAUUCGAUGCAACGCGAAGAACCUUACCUGGUCUUGACAUCCACAGAACUUUCCAGAGAUGGAUUGGUGCCUUCGGGAACUGUGAGACAGGUGCUGCAUGGCUGUCGUCAGCUCGUGUUGUGAAAUGUUGGGUUAAGUCCCGCAACGAGCGCAACCCUUAUCCUUUGUUGCCAGCGGUYMGGCCGGGAACUCAAAGGAGACUGCCAGUGAUAAACUGGAGGAAGGUGGGGAUGACGUCAAGUCAUCAUGGCCCUUACGACCAGGGCUACACACGUGCUACAAUGGCAUAUACAAAGAGAAGCGACCUCGCGAGAGCAAGCGGACCUCAUAAAGUAUGUCGUAGUCCGGAUUGGAGUCUGCAACUCGACUCCAUGAAGUCGGAAUCGCUAGUAAUCGUAGAUCAGAAUGCUACGGUGAAUACGUUCCCGGGCCUUGUACACACCGCMCGUCACACCAUGGGAGUGGGUUGCAAAAGAAGUAGGUAGCUUAACCUCGGGAGGGCGCUACCCMCWUUWWA
rnacentral:rRNA from 1 species